CAUUCUGAUGGAUAGCUCAGCUGGUGGAGCAUGAGACUCUUACUCUCAGGGUUGUGGGUUCAAGCCUCAUGUUGGGUGA